rnacentral:tRNA from 1 species
GCCGGUGUAGCCCUUGGCAGAGGCAACGGAUUUAAAACCCGUUCAGAGUGAGUUCGAAUCUCGCCACCGGCAC